UGGGGAAUUUUGCACAAUGGGGGAAACCCUGAUGCAGCGACGCCGCGUGAUUUAGAAGGCCUUCGGGUUGUAAAAAUCUUUUCUAUGGGAAGAAAAUGACAGUACCAUAGGAAUAAGGACCGGCUAAUUACGUGCCAGCAGCCGCGGUAAUACGUAAGGUCCGAGCGUUGUCCGGAAUCAUUGGGCGUAAAGGGUACGUAGGCGGGUAAGCAAGUUAGAAGUGAAAUCCUAUAGCUCAACUAUAGUAAGCUUUUAAAACUGCUCAUCUUGAGGUAUGGAAGGGAAAGUGGAAUUCCUAGUGUAGCGGUGAAAUGCGCAGAUAUUAGGAGGAAUACCGGUGGCGAAGGCGACUUUCUGGCCAUAACCUGACGCUGGGGUACGAAAGCGUGGGUAGCAAACAGG
rnacentral:rRNA from 1 species